rnacentral:rRNA from 1 species
UACGUAGGGUGCAAGCGUUGCCCGGAGUUAUUGGGCGUAAAGGGCGCGUAGGCGGCUCGGCACGUCCGUUGUGAAAUCGCCCGGCUCAACUGGGCGGGGUCAGCGGAUACGGUCGAGCUUGAGCAAGCUAGGGGGCAAUGGAAUUCCCGGUGUAGUGGUGGAAUGCGUAGAUAUCGGGAGGAACACCAGUGGCGAAGGCGGUUGCCUGGGGCUUUGCUGACGCUGAUGCGCGAAAGCGUGGGGAGCGAUCCGG